AGAUGAGGAGCUUGCUCUUCAAAUCGAGUGGCGAACGGGUGAGUAACGCGUGGGUAACCUGCCUCAUACAGGGGGAUAACAGUUAGAAAUGACUGCUAAUACCGCAUAAGACCACAGCACUGCAUGGUGCAGGGGUAAAAACUCCGGUGGUAUGAGAUGGACCCGCGUCUGAUUAGUUAGUUGGUGGGGUAACGGCUUACCAAGGCGACGAUCAGUAGCCGGACUGAGAGGUUGACCGGCCACAUUGGGACUGAGAUACGGCCCAGACUCC
rnacentral:rRNA from 1 species